AUAUAAAAGGGAAAAAAAGAAGUGAGGUUACGUCUGAUAUCAUUCUGGCGCAUAAGUAAUACCGAAGUGGGAGGAGGAAAAUACGUGACGCAGUUUCGAUUACCACCAUGGAUUAAAAAUACCAAGCAUGGAUACUAUACUACUUUGUGUACUCUUUGUGGUAUAUUUUGUUCCAAUUGAGUCGUGCACAUCGCGACACUUUGUGUCUUCUUGUGUACGUUUGUGUUAAAAAGUGUAAAAUAAUUGGAAAGCA